rnacentral:rRNA from 1 species
UGGGGAAUUUUGGACAAUGGGCGAAAGCCUGAUCCAGCAAUGCCGCGUGUGUGAAGAAGGCCUUCGGGUUGUAAAGCACUUUUGUCCGGAAAGAAAUCCUUGGCUCUAAUACAGUCGGGGGAUGACGGUACCGGAAGAAUAAGCACCGGCUAACUACGUGCCAGCAGCCGCGGUAAUACGUAGGGUGCAAGCGUUAAUCGGAAUUACUGGGCGUAAAGCGUGCGCAGGCGGUUUGCUAAGACCGAUGUGAAAUCCCCGGGCUCAACCUGGGAACUGCAUUGGUGACUGGCAGGCUAGAGUAUGGCAGAGGGGGGUAGAAUUCCACGUGUAGCAGUGAAAUGCGUAGAGAUGUGGAGGAAUACCGAUGGCGAAGGCAGCCCCCUGGGCCAAUACUGACGCUCAUGCACGAAAGCGUGGGGAGCAAACAGGAUUAGAUACCCUGGUAGUCCACGCCCUAAACGAUGUCAACUAGUUGUGGGGAUUCAUUUCCUUAGUAACGUAGCUAACGCGUGAAGUUGACCGCUGGGGAGUACGGUCGCAAGAUUAAAACUCAAUGAAUUGAC